UACGUAGGGGGCAAGCGUUGUCCGGAAUCAUUGGGCGUAAAGCGUCCGCAGGUGGCUAUGUAAGUCUGCUGUUAAAGAGUCUAGCUCAACUAGAUAAGAGCAGUGGAAAACUACAAGGCUAGAGUACGUUCGGGGCAGAGGGAAUUCCUGGUGUAGCGGUGAAAUGCGCAGAUAUCAGGAGGAACACCGGUGGCGAAGGCGGGUCUCUGGGCCGAUAUCGACGCUGAGGAGCGAAAGCGUGGGGGAGCGAACAGG
rnacentral:rRNA from 1 species